rnacentral:rRNA from 1 species
UGGGGAAUAUUGCACAAUGGGCGAAAGCCUGAUGCAGCGACGCCGCGUGAGGGAUGGAGGCCUUCGGGUUGUAAACCUCUUUCGCUCAUGGUCAAGCCGCAACGUAUGGUUGUGGUGAGGGUAGUGGGUAAAGAAGCGCCGGCUAACUACGCGCCAGCAGCCGCGGUAAUACGUAGGGCGCGAGCGUUGUCCGGAAUUAUUGGGCGUAAAGGGCUUGUAGGCGGUUGGUCGCGUCUGCCGUGAAAUCCUCUGGCUUAACUGGGGGCGUGCGGUGGGUACGGGCUGACUUGAGUGCGGUAGGGGAGACUGGAACUCCUGGUGUAGCGGUGGAAUGCGCAGAUAUCAGGAAGAACACCGGUGGCGAAGGCGGGUCUCUGGGCCGUUACUGACGCUGAGGAGCGAAAGCGUGGGGAGCGAACAGGAUUAGAUACCCUGGUAGUCCACGCUGUAAACGUUGGGCACUAGGUGUGGGGGCCACCCGUGGUUUCUGCGCCGUAGCUAACGCUUUAAGUGCCCCGCCUGGGGAGUACGGCCGCAAGGCUA